rnacentral:rRNA from 1 species
AGUGAACGCUGGCGGUAGGCCUAACACAUGCAAGUCGAACGGCAGCACAGGAGAGCUUGCUCUCUGGGUGGCGAGUGGCGGACGGGUGAGGAAUACAUCGGAGUCUACUCUGUCGUGGGGGAUAACGUAGGGAAACUUACGCUAAUACCGCAUACGACCUACGGGUGAAAGCAGGGGACCUUCGGGCCUUGCGCGAUUGAAUGAGCCGAUGUCGGAUUAGCUAGUUGGCGGGGUAAAGGCCCACCAAGGCGACGAUCCGUAGCUGGUCUGAGAGGAUGAUCAGCCACACUGGAACUGAGACACGAUCCAGACUCCUACGGGAGGCAGCAGUGGGGAAUAUUGGACAAUGGGCGCAAGCCUGAUCCAGCCAUACCGCGUGGGUGAAGAAGGCCUUCGGGUUGUAAAGCCCUUUUGUUGGGAAAGAAAUCCAGCUGGCUAAUACCCGGUUGGGAUGACGGUACCCAAAGAAUAAGCACCGGCUAACUUCGUGCCAGCCGCCGCAGUAA